CGCUUAAAUCGCCAACGAAAUUCGCGGAAAAUAAUGCUCGCUCCCUUAAACCGGAAACAUACCCGAUUGUGGCAGUAGAUUUUGGAAAAUGCAGUCGACAGUGCGCGACAUCCUCGAGACACAACAACAGAAGCUUUCUAAAGACAUGCAAACCAUGAGAUGGAAACUUGCUUUGUAAUUCACUACCAGUGACUGGCAGUCCUGAAACAGAAUGUCCAACUUUUCUUGGCAAAUUCCAGACCUACCAUCAGGAUGCAGUGUUCUGUAAGACACUGCAAGAGCUUUGUCCUUCUGGGAUUCCUAAUCCUUUGAAUGGAGAAAACAAGACAUUGCUGUAUAUGUGACAAUGAAAAUACCAUAUUGUUGGACAUUAAUUAAAAAGGGCAUUGACCAAUGACAUGUAUACCGUGGCUAGUGAUUGAUAAUUGUUGUGAUUUUUCUGAUUUGGUCAUACAGUCAGAAUGAAGGAAAGACAAAUAUCAUGGUUCAUGAACUUCAGAUACACUUUUAAGCUCCUCUGGUACAAACUGUCAUAAUCUUAUGGUAUAGUGAAGUGUCUGUCAUAAGUCUGUCUGGGAUAAAUACUUUAAAGUUUCAUCAUGUAAAUUACCUUGACCUUCUUUCAAGGUCACAGGUGUCAAAACAGGCACCAGUUUCUUAAAAACUGGUCUUGAGUCAUGAUAUUUCAUGAUGAUUAUAUUUUAUUCAGUAUUCCUUUGCAUUGCUUUGUUU